AGUAAAAUAAGCUAAGCGUAAGCUAUUGGGCUCAUACCUCAAAUAUGAGAGGGAUCUCUUUUACUA
rnacentral:tRNA from 1 species